AUGAGAAAAACUUCCACAUCUGGCGUCAACAGGUGGAGCCCUACAUCAACGCGUACAAUCUCGCAGAUCUCGCCGUGUGCACUCGAAUUCCUCCCAAAUUCGUGGACGAUGAUGCUCGUCGUCAAGGUACGAUCAAUCCUACAUACUCAAUUUGGCUUCAGAAAGAUCAAUUGCUUCUAUCAUGGCUUCAAUCGACUCUUUCGAGCAAAAUUGUGUCGCGUGUUCUUGGAUGCUCUCAUUCGCAUCAACUCUGGGAUCAGUUAUUCAGUUAUUUCCAGAAGCAAACUCGUGCACGUGCACGCCAAUUGCGUGCCCUAA